rnacentral:rRNA from 2 species
UGAGUAACACGUGGGUAAUCUGCCUGUAAGACGGGGAUAACUCCGGGAAACCGGGGCUAAUACCGGAUAACAAGAGAAGAAGCAUUUCUUCUUUUUGAAAGUCGGCUUCUCGCUGACCCUUACAGAUGAGCCCGCGGCGCAUUAGCUAGUUGGGGAGGUAACGGCUCACCAAGGCGACAAUGCGUACCCAACCUGAAAGGGUGAUCGGCCACCCUGGGACUGAAACACGGCCCAAACUCCUACGGGAGGCAGCAGUAGGGAAUCUUCGGCAAGGGGCGAAAGCCUGACCGAGCAACGCCGCGGGAGCGAUGAAGGCCUUCGGGUCGUAAAGUUCUGUUGUUAGAAAAAAACAAGUACAAGAGUAACUGCUCGUACCUUGACGGUACCUAACCAAAAAGCCACGGCUAACUACGUGCCAGCAGCCGCGGUAAUACGUAGGUGGCAAGCGUUAUCCGGAAUUAUUGGGCGUAAAGCGCGCGCAGGCGGUCUCUUAAGUCUGAUGUGAAAGCCCACGGCUCACCCGUGAAGGGUCAUUGGAAACUGGAAGACUUGAGUGCAGGAGAGAAAAUUGGAAUUCCACGUGUAGCGGUGAAAUGCGUAAAGAUGGUGGAAGGAAACACCAGUGGGCGAAAGGCGGCUUUUUGGCCUGUAACUGACCGCUGAAGGCGCGAAAGCGUUGGGGGAGCAAACAGGAUUAAGAUUACCCUGGUUAGUCCACGCCGUAAACGAUGAGUGCUAGGUGUUGGGGGGUUUCCACCCCUCAGUGCUGAAGUUAACACCAUUAAGCCCCUCCGCCUGGGGAGUACGACCGCAAGUUGAAACCUCAAGAAUUGACGGGGGCCCGCACAAGCAGUGGAGCAUGUGAUUAUCGAAGCACCGCGAAGA